CCUCUAAUUGAUUACACUCAAUUUAAGAAAUGCCAAGUUAAAAAAAAACGAGCAUAUUAGGUACGUUAUCAAUGGGCAGCAUGCGGUAGGCAGUGGUAGGCAGUAGCAUGGGGCCUAAUGGGCCACAUCCAGUCUAAGUCUCCUGCAUACGGUAGUAGGCGGCGGGAUGUGCGCUCGUGGAGCUGUGCGCCUAAUGUUAGAUUGCAGGAUUCGUACAUAGACGACGUGCGGUACGACGCGUAGGUGGAUAAGACGUUCACCUCGCAUGCAAGCCCGGCCAGCCUUACACACAUACGCGCAGGGGCACAACGCGCGGGGCAUUCCGCACAGUCAUGCGGACAUGCCUGCAUGAGCUGGGGAUUUUUCCUUCGUGACAUUUCCAUUUUUUUUCUUUUUUUUCUCCUUUAAUUUGAAACCUUUAAAUUUUAAAAAAAUAAAAUAGAAUAAAAUAAAAUAAAAUAACGAUAUGAAAAUUAAAACAAAUUUUGAUUAUUUAGAGACAAACAGUAAAAAUUCAAAGUAAAAUAAAAUAAAAAAUAUUACAUUACAAAAAUUUCGAAUAAAAUAGAGUCUUAAUACCACGUGAAGCAAAAAAGUGUGGGGGCGUCACACAUACAUAUACUUAUAUAUAUAUAUAUAGACAGAGAGAGGGAAAGAUGAAGAUCACCUAUCCUCCUCAUCCACAUUCUAACAUCCAAAAGAUAAUAUAACUAGUAAAAAAAGUUGUUACUAAUUAUCAAGAUGAUGUUAUUACUACAGUUUAGCACAGAGAAACAUCAUCUUUGCACAGUUAUCAGUCUCAUCAAUAUCAAUCUCUGUGUCAAUUAGGUUAACCCCCAAACAAUAGGUAAGAUUUCACAUAUUCUCGUUCUUCUCAGUUUUUACAAGAAAUAGAUGUUGUGUGCCUCUUGUUGAUUGUGCUCAGUAAGAAAAUUACCAUACU
rnacentral:lncRNA from 1 species